rnacentral:rRNA from 1 species
AUUGAACGCUGGCGGCAGGCUUAACACAUGCAAGUCGAGCGGAGAUGAGGUGCUUGCACCUUAUCUUAGCGGCGGACGGGUGAGUAAUGCUUAGGAAUCUGCCUAUUAGUGGGGGACAACAUUCCGAAAGGAAUGCUAAUACCGCAUACGUCCUACGGGAGAAAGCAGGGGAUCUUCGGACCUUGCGCUAAUAGAUGAGCCUAAGUCGGAUUAGCUAGGUGGGGGGGUAAAGGCCUACCAAGGCGACGAUCUGUAGCGGGUCUGAGAGGAUGGUCCGCCACACUGGGACUGAGACACGGCCCAGACGCCUACGGGAGGCAGCAGUGGGGAAUAUUGGACAAUGGGGGGAACCCUGGUCCAGCCAUGCCGCGUGUGUGAAGAAGGCCUUAUGGUUGUAAAGCACUUUAAGCGAGGAGGAGGCUACUGAGACUAAUACUCUUGGAUAGUGGACGUUACUCGCAGAAUAAGCACCGGCUAACUCUGUGCCAGCCGCCGCGGUAAAAC